rnacentral:lncRNA from 1 species
UGGGGUUCUUUGGGCCUGUUAUUUUCUGGUUUGGUUCUCACACAGUGAAAUUCUACACAUGGUCUUGAAGCUUCCAGCUGUCUCAUUAGCAAUGCUAGCUGGGGACCUUUCACAGGUGCAAGAGGGAACUUCGUUCUGAGAGGCUAUUUGCAGGAAACUAUUAGCUAAAUGCUAAAACCAUUCACAAGAAUAAAACACUAACAGUGGGUCCAGAUGGAGAAGCUCAUGUGGAUAGUUGCACCUGUAACCAGACACAGCUGGGCUUCAGUGGUUUGCUUCGGGGCACAGUGACCUACAGGAAGGUAGGGACUGCUGUAUGUGUGCAUUUUGCUGCUGUAUCCACAGAGUCUAGAAUGGUGCACUACCUGAUCACCAUGCCAUGAAUAUUUGUUGGAAAAACAAUAAACCCAUGGCUGCUGGACUUCUCACCUUACAGAAGUGCCUGUGAGAGAUUGUGGUGAGGUGCUUGGGGCAGGAAGGUCCUGGGCUGAGCCCAGAGCCUGAGCAAGCCCUCCGUGUGUGGCGUUCUUCAGCACAUGAUCCAGUUAAAAAGGGACCUGCUGACUGAAACUGUUAGAAGCCGGAAAGGUGGACUCCAAAGUGGCUGCAGCCUGGUGAAGAAGAGUGGCCAGUGACCUCCUUUCCAUCAGCCCAGGGCCUGGAUGGCAGCGAGAGCCUGAGAAGCUCCCUCGCUCACCCCACGUGUCCCCACCAGGCACUCACCUUACAUUCAUUUUUAACAUAAAGUUACCCUGGAAACGCUGGAUCCAGAAUGGUGGCAGAGGCUUCACCUCAAGAGAGAAUGUCACCAAAGCAGGACGAGUGAAAAGGUUUCUUAGAACAACAACAAAUACAUGGUCUGCUGACUCCUCCUCAGCCCCUCGUGUCUGGCUGUGCUGCUGGCUGCAAAUCUAUCCCCGUCACUGGCACGUGGUUCCAUGAGGAUGUGAGCAGUGACAGCUCCACCACUGCACCCAGGACCCGCUGAACCCUGAGCAGAGUGCGUCACAGCCACGUCAGCCCUGAACCCACAACCAGCAGAGGCAGUGUCUGCCUGCCCCUUCCUGACCGGCUUCUCAGCCCCAGGCCCCGAGGCCCCGUGUCCGCCUGCCCCUUCCUGACCGGCUUCUCAGCCCCAGGCCCCAAGGCCACGUCUGUGCUUCCCAGGGAAGGCUUUUCUUGGAUUCUGCUUUCCUCUCUCACCUUCCUCCCCCGAUUCUGACUAUCUCCCUUUCCCGCCCUCCAUCUCUCUCCAUGCCAAAAUGGCUCCUGUUUUUGUUCCUCUUCUGGGGGAUCUCAGCCUCUCCUGGUGUCUUGGGCACCCUUUCUUGACUUCCAAAGCUUCAUCCUGGAUGUGCAUCUCCUAAAUUCUAGGUUCUUGUAUGUAGCUGCCAAAUGGACACCUCCCUCCUGAUGCCCCACAGCUCUGACCUUCAGGACACCUCUGAACAAGGCCACACCUCUACAAAUACCCCUGGGUGUCACCAACAAUAUUUCCAUCUUCCUCCAGUUGGCCUUUCCAUUUUGCCUGUAACUUAUGACUCAUCUUUCAGACCUAAGUCCUCCUGUCCAAUCUCCCUGCCAUUUCUCUAUUCCCCAACUUCAUUAGUGUUUUAAAAAUAGGUACACUGCGGCCGGGAGUGGUGGCUCACGCCUGUAAUGCCAGCACUCUGGGAGGCCAAGGUGGGUGGAUCACGAGGUCAGGAGAUUGAGACCAUCCUGGCUAACAUGGUGAAACCCCGUCUCUACUAAAAAUACAAAAAAGUAGCCAUGGGUGGUGGUGGGCACCUGUAGUCCCAGGUACUUGGUAGGCUGUGGCAGGAGAAUGGCGUGAGGCCAGGAGGCGGAGCUUGCAGUGAGCCGAGAUGGCACCACUGCACUCCAGCCUGGACGACAGAGCGAGACUCCAUCUCAAAAAAAAAAAAAAAAGAAAAAGAAAAAGAAAAAGAAAAAGAAAAAGAAAAAAAAAGGUACAUUGCUUGAUGCACCUCCUAGUGGGCUCCCCUUCAGCCCCAUCUGUUGAACUCUUACAGAUUCUGGAUAUGCAGUGGAUGGAUGGGUGGUUAAAUGGGUAAAUGGAUUGAUAAUUGGAUGGGAUGGAUGAAUGGGUAGAUGCAUGAAUGAUUGGAUGGAAUGAAUAAAUGGAUGAAUGGAUGGAUGGGUAGAUGUAUGGAUGAUCAGAUAAAAUAAAC